GUGUGGUUCAUGAGGAUUUUUUUUUUUUUUUUUUUAAGAGUGUGGGCCCAUUAGUACUCCCUGCCUGGUCUGAACGAUGGAUGACUGUCUCGAUAAUGUUUUCUGCAGCGUCUCUCUUGGCCAAACCUGGCAGGGAACCAGCUGGAAAAGGGAGACCGAGCAGAGCAGAGGAGGUGAGCCCUGGCUGCGAGCAAACUGGACAGAGAGAGACGGGAAGAUAAACACUGAGCCAGAGUGGACAUAUUCUACAGAUUUUCUGAGCUGUUGACAGUGGAAGCCCAGGCUGCAAGCCCAUUUCCAGGGAGAGCAGACAUGAAGGACGCUGCUUGGAAUGCGGAAAUAA